rnacentral:rRNA from 1 species
CUGAUGCUAGCUCUCUUCGCAAGAAGAGGGUUCCAUACACACCGUGAACUGUGGCUUCGGCCAUCACAAACUGUUAGUAAUGAAUGUAAUAUCAUAACAAAAACAAAACUUUUAACAACGGAUCUCUUGGCUCUCGCAUCGAUGAAGAACGCAGCGAAAUGCGAUAAGUAAUGUGAAUUGCAGAAUUCAGUGAAUCAUCGAAUCUUUGAACGCACCUUGCGCCCUUUGGUAUUCCGAAGGGCAUGCCUGUUUGAGUGUCAUGAAACCUCACCCCACUUGGGUUUUUGCCUGAGCGGUGGUGUAUUGGGUGUUGCCUUGCUAAAGGCUCGCCUUAAAGACAUAAGCACCUUGGAUGUAAUACGUUUCAUCCUUCUGGGUGGCUGAUAACCCCACAUAUUCAUGAUCUGGCCUCAAAUCAGGUAGGGCUACCCGCUGAACUUAAGCAUAUCAAA